AUUGAACGCUGGCGGCAGGCCUAACACAUGCAAGUCGAACGAGCGGCGGACGGGUGAGUAAUGUCUGGGAAUCUGCCCGAUAGAGGGGGAUAACUACUGGAAACGGUGGCUAAUACCGCAUACUAUCGGAUGAACCCAAGUGGGAUUAGCUGGUUGGUGGGGAAAAGGCUCACCAAGGCGACGAUCCCUAGCUGGUCUGAGAGGAUGACCAGCCACACUGGAACUGAGACACGGCCCAGACUCCUACGGGAGGCAGCAGUGGGGAAUAUUGCGCAAUGGGGGCAAGCCUGACGCAGCCAUGCCGCGUGAAUGAAGAAGGCCUUCGGGUGGUAAAGUACUUUCGGUGGCGAGGCGUUAACUACAGAAGAAGCACCGGCUAACUCCGUGCCAGCCGCCGCGGUAAUAC
rnacentral:rRNA from 1 species